rnacentral:rRNA from 1 species
UGGGGAAUAUUGCACAAUGGGCGAAAGCCUGAUGCAGCAACGCCGCGUGAGUGAUGAAGGCCUUCGGGUUGUAAAGCUCUGUCUUUUGGGACUAUAAUGACGGUACCAAAGGAGGAAGCCACGGCUAACUACGUGCCAGCAGCCGCGGUAAUACGUAGGUGGCAAGCGUUGUCCGGAUUUACUGGGCGUAAAGGAUGCGUAGGCGGAUUUUAAGUGAGAUGUGAAAUACCCGGGCUUAACUUGGGUGCUGCAUUUCAAACUGGGAAUCUAGAGUGCGGGAGAGGAGAAUGGAAUUCCUAGUGUAGCGGUGAAAUGCGUAGAGAUUAGGAAGAACACCAGUGGCGAAGGCGAUUCUCUGGACCGUAACUGACGCUGAGGCAUGAAAGCGUGGGUAGCAAACAGGAUUAGAUACCCUGGUAGUCCACGCCGUAAACGAUGAGUACUAGGUGUAGGAGGUAUCGACCCCUUCUGUGCCGCAGUUAACACAAUAAGUACUCCGCCUGGGAAGUACGAUCGCAAGAUUAAACUC